rnacentral:rRNA from 1 species
CCUACGGGAGGCAGCAGUGAGGAAUAUUGGUCAAUGGGCGCGAGCCUGAACCAGCCAAGUAGCGUGAAGGAUGACUGCCCUACGGGUUGUAAACUUCUUUUAUCAAGGAAUAAAAUGAGGCACGUGUGCCUUUUUGUAUGUACUUUAUGAAUAAGGAUCGGCUAACUCCGUGCCAGCAGCCGCGGUAAUACGGAGGAUCCGAGCGUUAUCCGGAUUUAUUGGGUUUAAAGGGUGCGUAGAUGGGUUGUUAAGUCAGUUGUGAAAGUUUGCGGCUCAACCUUAAAAUUGCAAUUGAUACUGGAAGUCUUGAGUACAGUUGAGGUAGGCGGAAUGCGUGGUGUAGCGGUGAAAUGCUUAGAUAUCACGCAGAACCCCGAUUGCGAAGGCAGCUUACUAACCUGUGACUGACAUUGAUGCUCGAAAGUGUGGGUAUCAAACAGGAUUAGAUACACCGGUAGUC